rnacentral:rRNA from 1 species
UACGUAGGGACCAAGCGUUGUUCGGAUUUACUGGGCGUAAAGGGCGCGUAGGCGGCGUGUCAAGUCAAUUGUGAAAUCUCCGGGCUUAACUCGGAACGGUCAAUUGAUACUGAUGUGCUAGAGUGCAGAAGGGGCAAUCGGAAUUCUUGGUGUAGCGGUGAAAUGCGUAGAUAUCAGGAGGAACACCAAUGGCGAAGGCAGCUCGCUGGGACGGUACUGACGCUGAGGCGCGAAAGCGUGGGGAGCGAACAGG